UACGGAGGGUGCAAGCGUUGUCCGGAUUUAUUGGGCGUAAAGAGCGUGUAGGCGGCUAGGUAGGUCCGUUGUGAAAACUCGAGGCUCAACCUCGAGACGCCGAUGGAAACCAUCUGGCUAGAGUCCGGAAGAGGAGAGUGGAAUUCCUGGUGUAGCGGUGAAAUGCGCAGAUAUCAGGAAGAACACCCGUGGCUAAGGCGGCUCUCUAGUACGGUACUGACGCUGAGACGCGAAGGCCAGGGUAGCGAACGGG
rnacentral:rRNA from 1 species